rnacentral:rRNA from 1 species
UACAGAGACUGCAAGCGUUAUUCGGAUUCACUGGGCGUAAAGGGUGCGCAGGCGAUCGGGUGUGUCAGAUGUGAAAUCCCGAGGCUCAACCUCGGAACUGCGUCUGAAACUACUCGACUAGAGUACUGGAGAGGGUAACGGAAUUCACGGUGUAGCAGUGAAAUGCGUAGAGAUCAUGAGGAAGACCAGUGGCGAAGGCGGGUCUCUGGACAGUUCCUGACACUGAGACACGAAGGCCAGGGGAGCAAACGGG